rnacentral:snRNA from 1 species
UAGUGUUAUAUCUCCUUUGGAUUUGUCUGACAGGCUUUCUGCUUUUCAUCUGAAAACCCCU